UGCAAGCAACGGAUUGUCUUGCGUCUAUCAAACAUCGCCAGCACAUCUCAACACUUGCACAAAGCACUGGCGACAAUUGGCGAUUGCUUGGGUCAUCAAAUAUCAAUGGCUCGGCUUCUGCUGAUUGUUCACA
rnacentral:snoRNA from 1 species